AACGUAGGGGGCGAGCGUUAUCCGGAUUUAUUGGGCGUAAAGCGCACGUAGGUGGCUUGGUAAGUUGGACGUGAAAGCUCCUGGCUCAACUGGGAGAGGUCGUUCAAAACUGCCAGGCUUGAGGUUAGAAGAGGAGAGUAGAAUUCCCGGUGUAGUGGUGGAAUGCGUAGAUAUCGGGAGGAAUACCAGUGGCGAAGGCGACUCUCUGGUCUACACCUGACGCUGAGGUGCGAAAGCGUGGGGAGCGAACGGG
rnacentral:rRNA from 1 species